CAGCAGCCGCGGUAAUACGAAGGGGGCUAGCGUUGUUCGGAUUUACUGGGCGUAAAGCGCACGUAGGCGGACUUUUAAGUCAGGGGUGAAAUCCCGGGGCUCAACCCCGGAACUGCCUUUGAUACUGGAAGUCUUGAGUAUGGUAGAGGUGAGUGGAAUUCCGAGUGUAGAGGUGAAAUUCGUAGAUAUUCGGAGGAACACCAGUGGCGAAGGCGGCUCACUGGACCAUUACUGACGCUGAGGUACGAAAGCAUGGGGAGCAAACAGGAUUAGAUACCCCCGUAGUCCCUGUCUCUUAUAC
rnacentral:rRNA from 1 species